GUCUGCAGCCAUACCACCCUGUAUGCACCCAGUCUCAUCUGAUCUGGGAGGCUUAGCAGGGUCAGGCCUCAGUAGUACCUGGAAGGAAAAUGCAGCACAUAGGAU
rfam:Chlorocebus sabaeus isolate 1994-021 chromosome 9, whole genome shotgun sequence.